rnacentral:rRNA from 1 species
CCGGGUGAGUAACACGUAGGAAAUCUUCCCUAGAGCGGGGGAUAACGUCCCGAAAGGGACGCUAAUACCGCAUAAGCCCACGGCGACUCCGGUCGAAGAGGGAAAAGCUGGCCACUGUAUACAUGCUAGCACUUUAGGAUGAUCCUGCGGCGCAUCAGCUAGUUGGUGGGGUAAUGGCCCACCAAGGCUUAGACGCGUAGCUGGUCUGAGAGGAUGAUCAGCCACACUGGCACUGAAACACGGGCCAGACUCCUACGGGAGGCAGCAGUGGGGAAUAUUGGACAAUGGGCGCAAGCCUGAUCCAGCCACGCCGCGUGAGUGAUGAAGGCCUUCGGGUUGUAAAGCUCUGUGGGGAGGGACGAAAACGGCGCACAAGAAACGGUGCGUCCUUGACGGUACCUCCUUAGCAAGCACCGGCUAACUCUGUGCCAGCAGCCGCGGUAAUACAGAGGGUGCGAACGUUGCUCGGAAUUACUGGGCGUAAAGCGCAUGUAGGCGGAUCCAUAAGUCGGGCGUGAAAUCCCCAGGCUCAACCUGGGAACUGCGCUCGAAACUGUAGGUCUUGAGUGUCGGAGAGGAUGGCGGAAUU